rnacentral:lncRNA from 1 species
AUCGAGCUGUUGUUGGCCAACCAUAGAAGAGACCUCUCUGUCAUCCCCAUAGUAGGCCCUGGGGGCGUCGGCAAGACCGCUCUCGCCCGUCUCGUCUACGACGACGCCACCAUUAGAGACCACUUCGAUGCCCGAGGUUGGGUAUAUCUGUCAGAAGAUUUCGAUCUUAUCAGACUAAUAUCAGCAAUUGUUGUCUCAGUAACAAACAUGAAACAUAUUGAUGUUGAACAAGAUCACGGGAAACCCUUGAAGUGCCAGAUAUUGAGAGGGAAGAGAUUCCUGUUAGUGCUAGAUAAUGUUCAGAAUGAGAACCAAACCCUUUGGAAUUCCUUGAGAGCCCUAUUAAGUGUAGGUCUUGAAGGCAGUGCAAUUGUAGCGACGACUCGUUGUGAAUCAGUUGCCAAGUUCAUGCAGACGGUGCUGUCCUACAACCUCAUCCCAUUACCUGAAGAGGAGUGUCAAUCGUUGUUUGAACAUCAUGCGUUUGGAAGCCAAAAUCUUACUGAUAACCUAAAUUUAGUUGCUAUUGGGAAGAGGCUCACAAAAAGACUCAAAGGCAUGCCAUUGGCCGCUAAGAUGAUCGGUAAACUUCUAUGCACUGAGAAAAAUGAGGAGAAAUGGCAUGCCAUCUUGCAGAGUGGUGUUUGGGAAUCCACUGGUUUGGAUGGUGUGGUUUCAUCAGCUCUUAGACUAAGCUACUAUGGUUUGCCUACAUGUUUGAGGGUAUGUUUCACGUACACCGCAUUGUUUCCCAAAGGAUACCUGUUCAAGAAGGAUCGACUGGUUCAGCUGUGGAUGGCCCAGGGUUUUAUCCAACCUAUGGGACGAAAACUCCCAGAAGACAUUGGUGUGGAGUAUUUCGAUGAGUUGUUGAGACGGUCAUUCUUUCAGCAAAUAGGGGCUAAUGAACAUGUGUUUACUGUGCAUGACCUAAUUCAUGAUCUUGUGCAAACUAUUGCAAGCAAGGAAAUAUUUAGGAUAAAGAACGAGAAUUUUAGCUUUGUUACCUCAGAAGCAAGACAUUUAUCGUUGUGUCCUGAAGAACUUGGGCCAUUCAUUCGCUCCUGCAACAGACCCAGGGUUUUACGAACCUUUCUAAUUGUGCAUAGAGUAUUAGAUACUUGUGAUGUUGACUAUGUGUGGAGCAAAGCUUGCUCACCUUUGAGUAUGCCGAAUGACCUUUUUGUUGGCUUGAAGUUCUUGCGCACUCUGGAUCUGAGUGAAACCCCUAUUGUAAGUUUGCCAGAAUCAAUUGACAGCGUUAUACAUUUGCGCUACCUUGGUCUCAGACAUACAAAAAUUAGAAGAUUACCUGAAUCUUUGUGUGGCCUUUACAAUCUGCAGACGUUGGACCUGAGAGAUAGUGAGAAACUAGAAGAACUGCCCAAGAGCAUAACAAAUGUCACCAACCUGCGUCAUCUUUAUCUGCCAAGAUAUGUUUCAAUUAUUCCAAUGCCACAGGGAAUUGGAAAGUUGACUAAUCUUCAGACACUAUCAACAUUUUAUGUUGACCAUGGAGAGCAAAACUGUGCAAUAAUGGAGCUGAAGGACUUGGUAAAUCUCAGAGGAAAAUUCGAGAUUGCUGGACUGCACAACGUGGCAAGUGUAGACUAUGUCGAGGAUGCUUUAAAGGAUCUAAGACACAUUGCAAAACUGAUUCUGUCCUCUGGCAUCAAUUAUGACUAUGGGAACCUUGGUGAAUCUGAUUUCAGCCUGUUUGACGGAGUUGUUGAGGAUAACCAAUCAUUAGGCAACGUGCAUGAUGAGCUUCAGACUUCCACAGAAAAUGUUGUACAAGUCUCAGCACCUAAAGAAAUAUGUAAUGGUUUGGAGACGACUGUUUUUGACAGACUUCGUCCUCAUACAAAUCUGAUGGAGCUGGUUGUGCGUUCUUACCACAGUUUGCAAUUUCCCAACUGGAUGGGCGAUGCUUCCUUUUCCAAUUUAGCCUCUGUUGAAC